CGGGAUAGCUCAGCUGGUAGCAGCAGAGGACUGAAAAUCCUCGUGUCACCAGUAC
rnacentral:tRNA from 1 species